rnacentral:lncRNA from 1 species
UAUACCUAACAUCACCAACCAUCUAAUUUUCCCUCUGCCUUUACAGAUGAAACUGCUGAAAUAUUAACACGCGGCAAAAGAGGAAAGCAGAAUAAUUCUCCUGAUGGCAAUUAAGCGAGCCAACAAGGAACAUCCAUACGAAAGCUGAGUUGCUUACGUACCCGAUUAUAGAUCUACGAAUCUACGACAAUGACAUACGUAGUGCACUAUGGGAUACUUCCGCGGGAAUUAAAAGAGACACAUGACCUAUUUCCCUGUCUGAUGCUGUCCCCCUUUUACUUUUUCUUCGAAUUGCCAGCCAGGGAUUUGUCUGGAUAGAAAAUGACCAGCGCCUCCGCCUUGUGGUUGGUGGGAGCCCUUUAAAGUUAACUUCUAUGUAACGUUUUUCCCUCGAGUCGAUCCGUGAGGAUGUCAGAUCAGUCGGUUACCAAGGAUGUGGUUCACUUCGUUUGCUUUGUUUUUUUUCCGCCAGCUGGGAUGGGACACCGGAGAACAGUACGCCGGGAUGACUAGUUUGAUGUGGUAUUUUCCUUUUUUUCCCUCCCCCUUUGACAUCUCCCUAUGGCUUGCUCAAUUUUGGUCGUCGUAGCAUACUCUGUAGGUAAGAGCGGAAUCCUGUUAGGACUAUUAACGCCAUGUCUACGGUUUCUCCUCGGAAGUGUCAACUACUGGUACUAGUCAGCCGGGGCCUCUCAGUUUCUUAACCGCUCAACGUUGAUCCAACUUAUGUUUU